GUGGGGAAUUUUGGACAAUGGGCGCAAGCCUGAUCCAGCAAUGCCGCGUGCAGGAAGAAGGCCCUCGGGUUGUAAACUGCUUUUGUACGGAACGAAAAGCUCUGGGCUAAUACCCUGGAGUCAUGACGGUACCGUAAGAAUAAGCACCGGCUAACUACGUGCCAGCAGCCGCGGUAAUACGUAGGGUGCAAGCGUUAAUCGGAAUUACUGGGCGUAAAGCGUGCGCAGGCGGUUUUGUAAGACAGGCGUGAAAUCCCCGGGCUCAACCUGGGAAUUGCGCUUGUGACUGCAAGGCUGGAGUGCGGCAGAGGGGGAUGGAAUUCCGCGUGUAGCAGUGAAAUGCGUAGAUAUGCGGAGGAACACCGAUGGCGAAGGCAAUCCCCUGGGCCUGCACUGACGCUCAUGCACGAAAGCGUGGGGAGCAAACAGGAUUAGAUACCCCGGUAGUCC
rnacentral:rRNA from 1 species